rnacentral:lncRNA from 10 species
ACAUUCAUGGCUUCCCACAGUAGCACCUGUGGCUCUCUGUCUGUGGUCUGGGGCAGUUCAGAAGGGACAAGAAAGGCAAUGCCUUAAGGAGCAUCCCUUUACCAAUGGCAGACCAGCCAAAUCUGGCUGACCACUUGUUUUUAUAAAUAAAGUUAUACUGGAACACAGCCACGCCCAUUUCUUUACAUAUGGUCUAUGGUUGCCUUCAUACUACAAGGGCAGAGUUGUACAAGAGACUGUAUACCCCCAAAAGCCUAGUAUUUAUGGUGUGGCCCUUUCUAGACAAGUUUGCUGACUCCAACUCUAUAUUAUUCCCCUGUGGUGCCAGCAGGGUUGAGCCCCAAGUUGCCCACGGUGGUCACCUGCUUGCUCAUUAACAUACCUUCCUCUCCUUGUCCCACUCUCCUAUGGGGGUUUCCCAGGAUCACCUCCCAAAUACACUACUUGUGCUCACAAAGCUGUAACAUACUAGACAGGCUUAGAAAAGAAGCAAGUAGAGUGGGAAAUGGCAGGGGAUUGUCGAUCAUGGUAAGUCUGAGCCCCUGAGCCCCAGACCCAAGGCAUCUUUAGGGUUAGCCCCCAGCUAACUCAGGCCCCCCUCAAUCAUAAGUAACAUAAACCCUUUCAGAGAUCAAGAAAGGGUGAUUUAUUCUAGAGAAAGGGGUGUCCUGUGGAGUUCAGAUGUAGGAGAUGCUGUGAAACCUCCCAGUGUAGUGGUCCCAAGACCUAGGAUAUCACUGGUCUAGGAUAUCCAUCACUUCAUCUUCCCCAAAAUCCACCCUCUGCAGCCCAGCAGACAUGGAAGAAGGCAGCUACUCACAGAGACCCUGUUUCUCUGAGAACUGCCUCCUGUUGGACUGUAGCC